rnacentral:rRNA from 1 species
CUCCUACGGGUGGCAGCAGUGAGGAAUUUUGCGCAAUGGGGGAAACCCUGACGCAGCGACGCCGCGUGGAGGAUGAAGGCCUUCGGGUCGUAAACUCCUGUCAGAGGUGAAGAAUGCCCGCAAGGGUUUGACGGUAACCUAAGAGGAAGCCCCGGCUAACUACGUGCCAGCAGCCGCGGUAAUACGUAGGGGGCGAGCGUUGCUCGGAAUUACUGGGCGUAAAGGGUGUGUAGGUGGCUGAUCAAGUCAAAGAUGAGAGCCCGAGGCUCAACUUCGGAAUUGUCUUUGAAACUGGUCGGCUUGAGGCUAGUUGAGGAGAGCGGAAUUCCCGGUGGAGCGGUGAAAUGCGUAGAUAUCGGGAGGAACACCUGAGGCGUAGGCGGUUCUCUAAGCUAGUCCUGACACUGAGACACGAAAGCUAGGGGAGCAAACGGGAUUAGAUACCCUAGUAGUCC